AUGUCGGCGAUCACCACGCGCGCGCCGUGCCGGACGAACGCGCGCACGAUCGCCUCCCCGAUCCCGCGCGCCCCGCCGGUGACGAUGGCCACCUUCCCCUCCAGCCUCCUCUGCUGGACGAACUCGCACACCCGCAUGGCGGCAGCGGCGGCGGCAUUGUGGGUGGUGGUGCCAAGAGCGACGCUGCCGGCUUGGGGGGGCUUCUCGGCGGGCAUGAAGUCGAGAGCGGUCAUGGCUGCUAACAAGGGCGGUGCGGUGAUGAUGUGUGGGACUUUCAGUUUCAGCUAUGGAUGGAUGGACGGGAGUGGGACGAGAUGGAGCCGCACGGAGGUCUUUAUAUAG
rnacentral:rRNA from 1 species